UACGAAGGGGGCGAGCGUUGUUCGGAUUUACUGGGCGUAAAGGGCGCGCAGGCGGCUCAUUUUGUCAGGCGUGAAAGCCCCGGGCUUAACCUGGGAACUGCGUUUGAUACGGAUGGGCUAGAGUUCGGGAGAGGAGAGUGGAAUUCCCAGUGUAGAGGUGAAAUUCGUAGAUAUUCGGAGGAACACCAGUGGCGAAGGCGGCUCACUGGCUCGGUACUGACGCUGAGGUGCGAAAGCGUGGGGAGCAAACAGG
rnacentral:rRNA from 1 species